rnacentral:rRNA from 1 species
CCUACGGGGGGCUGCAGUGGGGAAUAUUGCACAAUGGGCGCAAGCCUGAUGCAGCCAUGCCGCGUGUGUGAAGAAGGCCUUCGGGUUGUAAAGCACUUUCAGCGGGGAGGAAGGCGUUAAGGUUAAUAACCUUGGCGAUUGACGUUACCCGCAGAAGAAGCACCGGCUAACUCCGUGCCAGCAGCCGCGGUAAUACGGAGGGUGCAAGCGUUAAUCGGAAUUACUGGGCGUAAAGCGCACGCAGGCGGUCUGUCAAGUCGGAUGUGAAAUCCCCGGGCUCAACCUGGGAACUGCAUUCGAAACUGGCAGGCUAGAGUCUUGUAGAGGGGGUUAGAAUUCCAGGGGUAGCGGUGAAAUGCGUAGAGAUCUGAGGAAUACCGGUGGCGAAGGCGGCCCCCUGGACAAAGACUGACGCUCAGGUGCGAAAGCGUGGGGAGCAAGCAGGAUUAGAUACCCCUGUAGUC